GACGAACGCUGGCGGCGUGCUUAACACAUGCAAGUCGAGCGGAAAGGCCCUGCUUUUGUGGGGUGCUCGAGUGGCGAACGGGUGAGUAACACGUGAGUAACCUGCCCUUGACUUUGGGAUAACUUCAGGAAACUGGGGCUAAUACCGGAUAGGAGCUCCUGCUGCAUGGUGGGGGUUGGAAAGUUUCGGCGGUUGGGGAUGGACUCGCGGCUGAUCAGCUUGUUGGUGGGGUAGUGGCUUACCAAGGCUUUGACGGGUAGCCGGCCUGGGAGGGUGACCGGCCACAUUGGGACUGAGGUAAGGCCCAGACUCCUACGGGAGGCAGCAGUGGGGAAUAUUGCACAAUGGGCGGAAGCCUGAUGCAGCAACGCCGCGUGCGGGAUGACGGCCUUCGGGUUGUAAACCGCUUUCGCCUGUGACGAAGCGUGAGUGACGGUAAUGGGUAAAGAAGCACCGGCUAACUACGUG
rnacentral:rRNA from 1 species